rnacentral:rRNA from 1 species
CCUACGGGUGGCUGCAGUGGGGAAUAUUGGACAAUGGGGGGAACCCUGAUCCAGCCAUGCCGCGUGUGUGAAGAAGGCCCUCGGGUUGUAAAGCACUUUCAGUGAGGAAGAACGCCUGGUGGUGAAUACCCAUCAGGAAAGACAUCACUCACAGAAGAAGCACCGGCUAACUCCGUGCCAGCAGCCGCGGUAAUACGGAGGGUGCGAGCGUUAAUCGGAAUUACUGGGCGUAAAGCGCGCGUAGGUGGCUUGAUAAGCCGGUUGUGAAAGCCCCGGGCUCAACCUGGGAACGGCAUCCGGAACUGUCAAGCUAGAGUGCAGGAGAGGAAGGUAGAAUUCCCGGUGUAGCGGUGAAAUGCGUAGAGAUCGGGAGGAAUACCAGUGGCGAAGGCGGCCUUCUGGACUGACACUGACACUGAGGUGCGAAAGCGUGGGUAGCAAACAGGAUUAGAUACCCCUGUAGUC